rnacentral:lncRNA from 1 species
AAGACAGUGCAAUGCAUUUCCUAAAAAGCCAACGCGAUAAAACUUUCCUUCCUUCCUUUCUUCUGUCCUAGAAUAGGUUUUCCUAUGAAUAAUUGUAUGCCCACAGGAGGGGGAAUCAGUAUGUCUGAGGGGUCGAGUAUCUCUCAUGGCAACUGCAGAACGGAACCAGUAACUGCACAGAGCAAACUCGCAGCAGAGGGACAGGAGUGUGCAUCAGAGUGCCUAUUUUUUUGAUGUCAGCAGCAGAUAUGAGUGCACUUCCCUCUGAAAAUCAGGACCAAUCCUUGUGCACCGAUAGCGAUCCAGCAUGCCAUGGCCCUACACAAAACCCUUCCAGUUUUCCAGGACAGUGCCUGUUGUUCAUUAAUAGUGAAGGGGGAAAUGCCACCUAUCUGUACAGCCAGAAAGUCAGUAUGUGUGAGAGCUGGAGAAUGUGGCAGAACCCAGCGAGAUUCUCGGGGUGGAAGAAAAGAGAUGAAAAGAAGUUCAGAUGCAG